UUCUAUGAUGGCAUGAAAUCUUUGAGACCUGAUUGUCAUAUUUGAUGACAACUAUAAGCAUAAUCACUGAGAAUCCCUUAUAAGUUAUAACCCACGUUGUAUAUUUUUUAUUUUGGUUGUGUUAUUUUAGUUUUAGAAUAUACUAAUUGAUAAAUAGGGGAAGUAAGAUAUAAUUGAAUGAUGAAAUAAGCACUGGGCUCUGAGCAGUUUGAUUAAUUACCUGCUUUAUUGAUGCACAUUGCUAGCCUAGAAAGCUAUGUCUGACUA